GACCUUUUUUUUUUUUUUUUUUUAGUUGAACUGAAAUUCAUAUAACCUAAAAUCGACCAUUUCAUAGUGAACAAUUCAGCAGCAUUUAGUGCAUUCACAAUGUUACGAGGCCACCUUUUCCAUCUAGUUGCAAACAUUUUCAUCACUCAAAAGCCUAUGCCAUUAAUUAGUCACUCCUCAUUCUCCUCUCUCCCCACCCCUGGCAACCACCAAUUUGCUUUCCGGCUGUAUAGUUGGAUUUACUAUUCUGGAUAUUUUGUACAAAUGGAAUCAUAUGAUGAUGUCUUGCAUCUUUCACUUAGCAUGUCUUUGAAGUUCAUCCCCAUUGGAGCAUGGAUCAGUACUUCAUUCCUUUUUAUGGCUGAGUAAUAUUCCACUGUAUAUACAUACCACAGUUUGUUCAUCAGUUACUUCAUGGAUGAACUUUGGGGCAUUUCUGCCUUUUAGCUAUUAUGAAUAAAUGCUGCUAUGAACAUAUGUGGAUAAGUAUUUGUUUGAGUCCCUGUCUUCAGUUCUUCUGGGUGUAUACUUAGGAGUGGAAUCACUGGUUAUAUGAUAAUUCUAUGUUUAACUUUUUGAGGAACUGCCAAACUUCUUCUCCAUUAGUCUUAGUAAGGUUACUUUCAAAUCAAAGUGUGCUUACUAAGUCAGCAAAAAGGAAUGAUAUUAGCCAUUGCUAGCAAGGGUAUUGUGAGAUACUCACAUUCCAAUCCUUCUAGUGUAUAAACUACCUCUUUUCAAUGUGUCAAAAAAAAUUAAAAGCUUUAAACAUUUUCACAUCCUUCAAAUGUUUAAUUCUACUUUUCAUAAUGUUGGAAACAACAUCACAGGCAAAACAAUUAAAUAUUCAUAUGUAUGAUAAUAAAAAGUUGGAAACUACUUUAAAUUUCAUUGAUAAAAAGACAAAUUACAAUAUAUCUACUUAUUGGUAUCUAAUGUAGCAAUAAACAAUAAAUAUGAGGCAAUGCAGAAUGGAAAUGUUUGAAGUCUUCAGCAAUAAUAGCAUAAUGCAGAAUAUAAAUUAUAUGAACAGAGAUUAGAAAGUAACAUACAAAAUUUAACAUUGUGACAGCUGAAGAGAUUCUUAAGGAAUUGCUCUACUCAUUUGAUGUUAAUCUUCUCACAUUAUCUUCAUAAGAUGAAAGUUUUCUAAAUCAUAUAGUAAUGUGUUUUGUCUGGGAAAUUCUCUAUGCAACCUCCCCAGCCCUUCUUUUCCAUCAUGCUGAUCGGAGGCAACAUUGAGGUACAUGUCAAUCCUGGGGAUGGGACAGGCCUGAGAAAAGCUCUCCUGCACGCUCCCACGGGUACCUGCGGUGAUGGACAAGCGCAUUCCAUCUCCUUGGUCAGGAAUCGGAGAAUGAUCACUGUCCAAUUGGAUGAGAACAAUCCUGUGGAAAUGAAGUUGGGCGCGUUAGUAGAAAGCAGGACGAUAAAUGUGUCCAAUCUGUACGUCGGGGGAAUUCCAGAGGGAGAGGGGACGUCGCUGCUCACAAUGAGAAGAUCGUUCCAUGGCUGUAUCAAAAACCUGAUCUUCAAUUUGGAACUUUUGGAUUUCAACAGUGCAGUUGGCCAUGAGCAAGUCGACCUGGACACCUGCUGGCUGUCAGAAAGGCCUAAGCUGGCUCCCGAUGCAGAGGACAGCAAGCUCUUGCCAGAGCCCCGGGCUUUUCCAGUAGGAGCGGCUUCCUUUACUAUCAGUCAGGUCCAGUCAGCGAAGGAGGGCCUAGGACAGAGGGAGUUAAAAUGGGGCCUUGCUGUAAAGGUGCCUGCGAAAGCUGGAGCUGGAGCUGGAGCCGUGCUAAAAAUCAGAGUGGGGACAGGGUGGGAAAGGGUGCCUCAAGCAACUCAGAUGACACGGCCCAAUCCAUAGAUUGUAGGCCCCAACACCCAGGCCGCGCAUUGGGCUGACGUAUAAUAUGCUUUUGGCAGAGCUUCUAUAAGGACUCAUUAUCAAUUUACAUUUAGCCAGGAAAGCAUGAAAAUAAGUACUUCAUGUAAAGCCAUUGUGCACAUAUUUGUUGCUUUAAAAAAAAAAAAAGAUUCAAUUCAUUAGGAAAAGCCAGUUCUGGCCAAAUAUUUUGAAUGGCAGCCAUUGUUAUUUUUCAUUUUCUCCCCCUUUUGCUUUCUCUGUUUCCCUGGUUUAAAGUGUGCACUCUAAUAAUUUAGAAGAUGGCAGAAGCAUUCAAGAGCAGGACCUUCUGAGCAGGGCGAGGCUUUGAGUUCAGGGCAGUUUUCAUGGUAGCAUCUGCCUGUGCUGAAGCAGAAAACAGCAUCUGGGACCCCUGUGACUUGGGCACUCUCAGGGCAGCCCGCAGAUGGUUGCAUGGGGUUCAGGGGCCCUUCCCGCCUGGCUCCUCUUGUUUGCAUCCUGCCCUGUCAGUGUGGACCUAGGUUCACACUCUGAGGCCCUGCAAAACAUGUCACCUGUGGGCACCUCCAGUUUUCCAGUGCCUGGUCCGCAGCUCAUCUCGGCAGCUGCAUCCUUAGGGCCAUUCCCAAAACCUCAGGUCACGGCGGGGGCCUAGGGGGACAGCAAGGCCUUUGCCCCUUAAGCCUGAUGAAAAUUUGUAGGAAAGACUUCAGUGUCCUUAUGAAUUUCAGUGAAGCCGAGUGGGAUUAAGGUGAAAGACAGAAGCUCUAAGUGCUUUCUUCAGGGAGAUAAAGCGCUGGCGAGUGCAUCAUUUAAACCGAAGAUGGAGUGAGCGCCAACAGGCACUGGUGGUUGUUGCUGUUCUAAUGGGAUUGCUUUGUAGAUGGCUCUUCAUGGCGGAACACGCGUGUGUCAGUGGGGUUCGGGCUGCGGGUGGCGGCUGAGUGUCCCUGUGUGUCUCUUACAGGAACAGUGUGUGGUGGAUGCAGCUCUGGAGUACGUUCCCGGCGCUCACCAGUUUGGUCUCACCCAAAACAGCCAUUUCAUCUUGCCUUUUAAUCAGUCAGCUGUCAGAAAGAAGUAGGUAUCAUUCUAACAUCCUUAUGCAGCGUCUCAUUGCUAGAUGUAUGGGGGUGUUCUGCAGCCACAGAGUCUUUUCCAAAAGAACCUGCUUUUAUUUUACGAUGAAGUGCUUGAUUUGCAACCAAAUGGCAAAAAGAAGGAAUUCAGUGUUGGUGCAAAUCACAACGCUUUCAUGGUGGUUCACUGGGGAGUCUGUGGUUUCUGCCUUUUCCCUUCUGGAGAGUGGCUGGCUUCCCCUUUCUGUGUGCAUGUAAGGAAGCGUGUGGGCGUCUAAAUUAAGUCUCCCGGAUCUAUUAUUGUUUGGACUUUCAACCCCAUUCCACUUUAAGCAUUCCCUAGUCUGAUGUCUUUGUCUACCCAAACUCUUACACUGUGGUGGCCAAAAUCCCGAGUGCCACACCCACCCCUCUCUGCACCUUCUGGCCCUCAUACCUGCCUGUCCCUGGGACCCUUCUGCCAAGGGAAGAUCUCAAGGCCUGGAGCUUGGGGCUCCCGGACUCCAUGUUGCUCCUCUCUCCUCCUGAGGUCCUCCAGCUCACCUGCCAGGCUUGCCUGCAGUCUCUGCCAUGCCCUGCCCGUCUUGUUGUCAUUGGCUGUGAGUGCCACCCUGUCAUACCCCCUUAGACCUGGGCUCCUGUCUGUCUUCUGCAGCUCCUGCCAUCACUCUCUGUGAAUUCAACAGCUGCCUAACACCUGACCUUUCUGUGCUCAAACUGUGAUCUGUGGAAGGUCUUUCCCUGCUCCCUCCUCAGCCAGCCUCUUCCAUGGCCAUACCCUUGACUUCUUCACAGGUAUCCAUCCCUCCCACAGUCUCGACUUUAAAAGCCUCCUAUUAGCAAACCCCUUUCUUCUUGUCUCCACUCUGUGCCUCCCCACUCCUGCAGUUUCUCAGCUGCAUGGAGACCUCUAAGCCGCUAGCCCUAAUGCCCUCCCACCACCAUCUCCCCUCUUCUCUAGCCCCAAAUCACAAUUCAUCCCCCAGAUAGGUUCCAGGCCAGUGUUACAGAUGUCCUCUGCAAAAUCCCCUAACCCUUUCUCUCUCCCACUCCUGCGAGCCCAGGUAAAAGCCAACAUUCCGCCUUCUGUGUGCCAGAACCCACACGGGAGACCAAGGCCGAGGAGAUGGAUGUCUCCUUCCUAGCUGGUUUGAGCUGGGUAUCAUAGCCGUCAAUCUCAGAUGGAGCCUCCAAACGACAUGGGGAGCCAGUGCAUUGCUCUAAUAUGUUCAUGGUUUUUAUUCUCCAUGACUACUUCCUCAUAGCUGCUCUUAGCUCAGAGCCCUGUGCACCGCAGUCUCUCUUCCCACCCCAGCUGAUGACUUGCCUCGUUGAGAAGAAAGAGCUCCUUCAUCCGUCCACCACCAAAAAGACCAGCCCCUGCUUUUGUUCCUGACCCUCUAUCUCUUCUGCUACCACAGAUGAAGGGUACUUGUUCCUAGCAAAGCCCACCCAGCCAGCCCCAGCUUGUCCUCUGGAUCCCAUCCGCCCUCUCCUCCUAGGACAUGCACAGCAGCCACUCCUCACAGACCAGCACACAGAUGCCGCUGUCACCCCAUCGUCAGCAGUGACAGCAAGAGCAGCAAACUAUUGUGCUGGAGGUUGACACAAAGAUUUUUACACAGAUG
rnacentral:sRNA from 1 species